UCACACACUGGGAAAAAGAACUACAAUAGGGAUGGAGGCAGCUGAGAGAUGAGGAGAGCCAGGCAAAGCGAUAGAAGGUGGUACAAUGCAGAGAAGGAUUUGGGACAUUGAGAAGGUAUGAUGAUAGCUCAUGAAAUGGAGAAACAGGACAAGAUAACUGGAACAUUUAUUCAGAACAGUGUCAGCACCAGCAAGGCCACGGGUCGGUUUCAGGAAGGGCUGAUCUUUAGCUCCUGUCACCUACUGUGGCCAGUUGGAUUUGCUCUCUGUCCUGCUAACAGAGCACAUGGACACCAAGCAAGGGAUCUGCUGCGGCAGGUGGCCAGAGCCCCAGGCCGUCCUGUAGACUGCUGACAUGUGUGGUUUGAACUCCUUUGCCCAAACACAGACUAAAUGAUAAAAUACAUAUCAGUGUGGG
ensembl:lncRNA